rnacentral:rRNA from 1 species
CCAUGCUAGUUGUACGGGUUUAGACCCGUAGCAAAUAGCUCCGUAACACGUGGUCAAACUACCCUCUGGACCGGAAUACCCUCGGGAAACUGAGGCUAAUUCCGGAUACUGCUUUCAUGUUGGAACACAGAAAGUCGGAAACGGUCCGCCGCCGGAGGACGUGACUGCGGCCGAUUAGGUAGACGGUGGGGUAACGGCCCACCGUGCCGAUAAUCGGUACGGGUUGUGAGAGCAAGAACCCGGAGACGGUAUCUGAGACAAGAUACCGGGCCCUACGGGGCGCAGCAGGCGCGAAACCUUUACACUGCACGCCAGUGCGAUAAGGGGACCCCGAGUGCGAGGGCAUACAGUCCUCGCUUUUCGUGACCGUAAGAAGGUCUCAGAAUAAGAGCUGGGCAAGACCGGUGCCAGCCGCCGCGGUAAUACCGGCAGCUCGAGUGAUAGCCACUAUUAUUGGGCCUAAAGCGUCCGUAGCCGGCCGAACAGGUCCGUCGGGAAAUCCACCCGCUCAACGGGUGGACGUCCGGCGGAAACCAGUCGGCUUGGGGCCGGGAGACCAGAGAGGUACGUCCGGGGUAGGAGUGAAAUCCCGUAAUCCUGGACGGACCGCCGGUAGCGAAAGCGUCUCUGGAGAACGGACCCGACGGUGAGGGACGAAAGCUUGGGUCUCGAACCGGAUUAGAUACCCGGGUAGUCCAAGCUGUAAACGAUGCUCGCUAGGUGUGGCGUUGGCUACGAGCCAGCGCUGUGCCGUAGGGAAGCCGAGAAGCGAGCCGCCUGGGAAGUACGUCCGCAAGGAUGAAACUUAAAGGAAU